UCAUGUCAUAAAUCUAAACCAGUGAAUAAAAUCAAAAAGAUUAAAAUCCAAAGAAUUUGGCGGUGUUUUAUGUAAUCAGGGGAACCUGUUCCUUAAUUUGAUAAUCCACACUAUUCAUCACCACUAUUAGAUCAAACAGCCUGUGUACUGCCGUCUCCAGCCCACCUUAAAAGAGUGAGCAACAUCAUAAAACAAAUGAUAAAGUCAGGUCAAAGUACAGCCAAUAUAGUGGGGAGAAAUGGGUUACAUCCUAAACCAAGAUGCCUAGAACUUAAUCCAAAAAUUAAGACAAAGAUGGACUUGACAGUAAUGCCAUAUAAAUAUUAACUCAUGAACAACAAUCUAAAACAUGCACAUAUCGCCCGUCACUCUCUUCAAAAGAAG
rnacentral:rRNA from 1 species